rnacentral:rRNA from 1 species
GACAGAGGCCUCAAGCGUUAGGCGGAAUCACUGGGCUUAAAGCGUGUGUAGGCGGAUCGUUAAGUGUCUUGUGAAAUCCCACGGCUCACCCGUGGAACUGCUGGGCAUACUGGCGAUCUUGGCCAACUAGGGCAACUGGAACAAGCGGUGGAGCGGUGAAAUGCGUAGAUAUCGCUUGGAACGCCGAAGGUGAAAACAGGUUGCUGGGGUUGUGCCGACGCUGAGACACGAAGCCAGGGAGCAACGGG